rnacentral:tRNA from 1 species
GGGGCUGUAGUGUAACUUGGCUAUCACUGGCGCUUGGGGUGCGUCCAAUCGGGGUUCAAAUCCUCGCAGCCCCA